rnacentral:misc_RNA from 1 species
UGACAGGCAACAAUAAAAUGGUCAGCUCCAUCUGUUCUAUUCCAGAAACGAUACUUUUGCGCAAUCAUAUCAACAUAGUUACUUAAAAAUUGAAUUAUAUUUGUACGGUUGUGAGAAUCAGGCACGUACAAUGUCAACUUCAGUGAUCGGAAACUUAUCGGCAAAUAAAAUAGGUGAGCCUUUUUAGGGUUCUUAGUGACAAAUCUUUUGUUUUCUUGAAGCAGCUUUAUGAACCAGCCCUCUGAAGCAUAUAUUCCAUCGAGAGGUCCGGAAUGGCA